CUACGGGGGGCAGCAGUGGGGAAUAUUGCACAAUGGGCGCAAGCCUGAUGCAGCCAUGCCGCGUGUAUGAAGAAGGCCUUCGGGUUGUAAAGUACUUUCAGCGGGGAGGAAGGGAGUAAAGUUAAUACCUUUGCUCAUUGACGUUACCCGCAGAAGAAGCACCGGCUAACUCCGUGCCAGCAGCCGCGGUAAUACGGAGGGUGCAAGCGUUAAUCGGAAUUACUGGGCGUAAAGCGCACGCAGGCGGUUUGUUAAGUCAGAUGUGAAAUCCCCGGGCUCAACCUUGGAACUGCAUCUGAUACUGGCAAGCUUGAGUCUCGGAGAGGGGGGUAGAAUUCCAGGUGUAGCGGUAAAAUGCGUAGAGAUCUGGAGGAAUACCGGUGGCGAAGGCGGCCCCCUGGACGAAGACUGACGCUCAGGUGCGAAAGCGUGGGGAGCAAACAGGAUUAGAUACCCCCGUAGUC
rnacentral:rRNA from 1 species